rnacentral:misc_RNA from 1 species
GAAAUGCGAUAAGUAAUGUGAAUUGCAGAAUUCAGUGAAUCAUCGAAUCUUUGAACGCACAUUGCGCCCGCUAGUACUCUAGCGGGCAUGCCUGUUCGAGCGUCAUUUCAACCCUCAGGCCCAGCCUGGUGUUGGGGCCCCACGGCCGCCGUGGGCCCCGAAAUGGAGUGGCGGGCUCGCCUCAGCUCCGAGCGUAGUAGAACUCUAUUCUCGCUAGGGACGCUGGGCGGCGCUCCGGCCGUUAAUCCUCUCUAUGAGUAUUACCAAAGGUUGACCUCGGAUCAGGUAGGAAUACCCGCUGAACUUAA